GUCAGGAUGCCUGAGUGGUCAAAGGUGCCAGACUCAAGUUCAGGUCUCCAAUUGGAGGCGUGGGUUCAAAUCCCACUCCUGACA